rnacentral:rRNA from 1 species
GGGUUGUGAGGUUAAGCGACUAAGCGUACACGGUGGAUGCCCUGGCAGUCAGAGGCGAUGAAGGACGUGCUAAUCUGCGAUAAGCGUCGGUAAGGUGAUAUGAACCGUUAUAACCGGCGAUUUCCGAAUGGGGAAACCCAGUGUGAUUCGUCACACUAUCAUUAACUGAAUCCAUAGGUUAAUGAGGCGAACCGGGGGAACUGAAACAUCUAAGUACCCCGAGGAAAAGAAAUCAACCGAGAUUCCCCCAGUAGCGGCGAGCGAACGGGGAGCAGCCCAGAGCCUGAAUCAGUGUGUGUGUUAGUGGAAGCGUCUGGAAAGGCGUGCGAUACAGGGUGACAGCCCCGUACACAAAAAUGCACAUACUGUGAGCUCGAUGAGUAGGGCGGGACACGUGGUAUCCUGUCUGAAUAUGGGGGGACCAUCCUCCAAGGCUAAAUACUCCUGACUGACCGAUAGUGAACCAGUACCGUGAGGGAAAGGCGAAAAGAACCCCGGCGAGGGGAGUGAAAAAGAACCUGAAACCGUGUACGUACAAGCAGUGGGAGCACGCUUAGGCGUGUGACUGCGUACCUUUUGUAUAAUGGGUCAGCGACUUAUAUUCUGUAGCAAGGUUAACCGAAUAGGGGAGCCGAAGGGAAACCGAGUCUUAACUGGGCGUUAAGUUGCAGGGUAUAGACCCGAAACCCGGUGAUCUAGCCAUGGGCAGGUUGAAGGUUGGGUAACACUAACUGGAGGACCGAACCGACUAAUGUUGAAAAAUUAGCGGAUGACUUGUGGCUGGGGGUGAAAGGCCAAUCAAACCGGGAGAUAGCUGGUUCUCCCCGAAAGCUAUUUAGGUAGCGCCUCGUGAAUUCAUCUCCGGGGGUAGAGCACUGUUUCGGCAAGGGGGUCAUCCCGACUUACCAACCCGAUGCAAACUGCGAAUACCGGAGAAUGUUAUCACGGGAGACACACGGCGGGUGCUAACGUCCGUCGUGAAGAGGGAAACAACCCAGACCGCCAGCUAAGGUCCCAAAGUCAUGGUUAAGUGGGAAACGAUGUGGGAAGGCCCAGACAGCCAGGAUGUUGGCUUAGAAGCAGCCAUCAUUUAAAGAAAGCGUAAUAGCUCACUGGUCGAGUCGGCCUGCGCGGAAGAUGUAACGGGGCUAAACCAUGCACCGAAGCUGCGGCAGCGACGCUUAUGCGUUGUUGGGUAGGGGAGCGUUCUGUAAGCCUGCGAAGGUGUGCUGUGAGGCAUGCUGGAGGUAUCAGAAGUGCGAAUGCUGACAUAAGUAACGAUAAAGCGGGUGAAAAGCCCGCUCGCCGGAAGACCAAGGGUUCCUGUCCAACGUUAAUCGGGGCAGGGUGAGUCGACCCCUAAGGCGAGGCCGAAAGGCGUAGUCGAUGGGAAACAGGUUAAUAUUCCUGUACUUGGUGUUACUGCGAAGGGGGGACGGAGAAGGCUAUGUUGGCCGGGCGACGGUUGUCCCGGUUUAAGCGUGUAGGCUGGUUUUCCAGGCAAAUCCGGAAAACUAAGGCUGAGGCGUGAUGACGAGGCACUACGGUGCUGAAGCAACAAAUGCCCUGCUUCCAGGAAAAGCCUCUAAGCAUCAGGUAACAUCAAAUCGUACCCCAAACCGACACAGGUGGUCAGGUAGAGAAUACCAAGGCGCUUGAGAGAACUCGGGUGAAGGAACUAGGCAAAAUGGUGCCGUAACUUCGGGAGAAGGCACGCUGAUAUGUAGGUGAAGUCCCUCGCGGAUGGAGCUGAAAUCAGUCGAAGAUACCAGCUGGCUGCAACUGUUUAUUAAAAACACAGCACUGUGCAAACACGAAAGUGGACGUAUACGGUGUGACGCCUGCCCGGUGCCGGAAGGUUAAUUGAUGGGGUUAGCGCAAGCGAAGCUCUUGAUCGAAGCCCCGGUAAACGGCGGCCGUAACUAUAACGGUCCUAAGGUAGCGAAAUUCCUUGUCGGGUAAGUUCCGACCUGCACGAAUGGCGUAAUGAUGGCCAGGCUGUCUCCACCCGAGACUCAGUGAAAUUGAACUCGCUGUGAAGAUGCAGUGUACCCGCGGCAAGACGGAAAGACCCCGUGAACCUUUACUAUAGCUUGACACUGAACAUUGAGCCUUGAUGUGUAGGAUAGGUGGGAGGCUUGGAAGUGUGGACGCCAGUCUGCAUGGAGCCGACCUUGAAAUACCACCCUUUAAUGUUUGAUGUUCUAACGUUGACCCGUAAUCCGGGUUGCGGACAGUGUCUGGUGGGUAGUUUGACUGGGGCGGUCUCCUCCUAAAGAGUAACGGAGGAGCACGAAGGUUGGCUAAUCCUGGUCGGACAUCAGGAGGUUAGUGCAAUGGCAUAAGCCAGCUUGACUGCGAGCGUGACGGCGCGAGCAGGUGCGAAAGCAGGUCAUAGUGAUCCGGUGGUUCUGAAUGGAAGGGCCAUCGCUCAACGGAUAAAAGGUACUCCGGGGAUAACAGGCUGAUACCGCCCAAGAGUUCAUAUCGACGGCGGUGUUUGGCACCUCGAUGUCGGCUCAUCACAUCCUGGGGCUGAAGUAGGUCCCAAGGGUAUGGCUGUUCGCCAUUUAAAGUGGUACGCGAGCUGGGUUUAGAACGUCGUGAGACAGUUCGGUCCCUAUCUGCCGUGGGCGCUGGAGAACUGAGGGGGGCUGCUCCUAGUACGAGAGGACCGGAGUGGACGCAUCACUGGUGUUCGGGUUGUCAUGCCAAUGGCACUGCCCGGUAGCUAAAUGCGGAAGAGAUAAGUGCUGAAAGCAUCUAAGCACGAAACUUGCCCCGAGAUGAGUUCUCCCUGACUCCUUGAGAGUCCUGAAGGAACGUUGAAGACGACGACGUUGAUAGGCCGGGUGUGUAAGCGCAGCGAUGCGUUGAGCUAACCGGUACUAAUGAACCGUGAGGCUUAACCUUACAACGCCGAAGGUGUUU